GAAUUCGAUUCAGGCCUAACACAUGCAAGUAGAGCGCGAAAGUCUUCGGAUGAGUAAAGAAAAGAACGGGUGAGUAAUGCAUGGGAAUCUGCCUGGUAGUGGGGGACAACGUCUCGAAAGGGACGCUAAUACCGCAUACGCCCUACGGGGGAAAGGGGGGGAUCUUCGGACCUCUCGCUAUCAGAUGAGCCCAUGUCAGAUUAGCUAGUUGGUGAGGUAAAGGCUCACCAAGGCGACGAUCUGUAACUGGUCUGAGAGGAAAAUCAGUCACACUGGUUUUGAGGGACGGUCCAGACUCCUACGGGAGGCAGCAGUGGGGAAUAUUGGACAAUGGGGGCAACCCUGAU
rnacentral:rRNA from 1 species